rnacentral:rRNA from 1 species
GACGGAGGCCCCGAGCGUUGUUCGGAAUUAUUGGGCUUAAAGCGCGUGUAGGCGGGCCGGUAAGUGCUUUGUGAAAUCCCCGGGCUCAACCCGGGAAUUGCUUGGCAUACUGCCGGUCUUGAGGCAGGUAUGGGUCACUGGAACCUUAGGUGUAGCGGUGAAAUGCGUAGAUAUCUAAGGGAACGCCGGUGGCGAAAGCGGGUGACUGGGCCUGUCCUGACGCUGAGACGCGAAAGCGUAGGGAGCAAACGGGAUUAGAUACCCCGGUAGUCUACGCCGUAAACGAUGCGCACUAGGUUCGAGGUCCCCUGACGGACCUCGGGCCGAAACAAAAGCGUUAAGUGCGCCGCCUGGGGAGUACGGCCGCAAGGCUAAA